CCAGGCAUUUUGAGCUUCUACAGGAAAAUGGGGGAAACACUGACUCUUGAAGGUGUUUUUAAAUUGUUCCUUCUCUAUCUCCUUGCUGCAGCUCUGCUACAGUGGGCUCGUUUUUGGAGGAGAACCCUGCUCUUUGGACGGGCUGUUCCCAAGCAGGGCAGAAUCUAGGGCAGUCUUCCCUCAAGUGCAGCUCUACCCGCCUGGCUCCCUGGAGCCCUCCUGGGCACUGCCAGUCCCAGAGCCCUCUGUCCCCUCAGGGGAACUUAAUGGUGCUACCCGAAUGAGAUUUCUUUCCUUUUUCCUCAUUCUUUUUUUUUCUUUCAUUACCGUCCAUUUCCCUUCCACAUUCCCCUCUUCUCUGUCCUUAUCUCAUCUGCUCCCUAUUCUUCCUCUUCCCGUUUCUUUCCUCCUCCUCCUCCUCCUCUCUCUCCUUUCUCUCUCCUCUCCACUCCACUCCACUCCUCUCCUCUCCUCUCUCUUCCCUUUCCUCCAUAAUACUUAUUUUGUAAAAUCCUUACCUUCUGUCUUAAAAUCAAUAUUGUAUAUUUGUUCUUAA
rnacentral:lncRNA from 1 species